GGCGAAGUGGCCGAGUGGUCUAUGGCGCUAGCUUCAGGUGCUAGUUCACAUAUGUGAGCGUGGGUUCGAACCCCACCUUCGUCA
rnacentral:tRNA from 1 species